GCAUUACUUGGUAGCUGCUCCCUCUAGUGGCGGGAAACAUGUGACAUCCCCUCCCAUUCAUAUGGUCCCUCCCACCUUAACCGUUUCCCCAGCUUCAAACGGUGCCUCGAGCGUUCUACUGUGUCGGUGACGUCACGACCCUCUCUGCCGCUUCCCAUUGGCCGAACGGGCUGUCAGUCAGGUGUCUAGGGUUCGGUUGUAGACUCGCGGUACAGGUCUCCCUCCCGUGGGAUUCCGAACUUGCUGCUCGCUUGGUCCCGCCCCCUCCCGUGCAAGGCCGAUGGCGGAGCCCGGGCACUGAGGGGAAAGUUGUGUCGGAUACACGCGGCCGGUCCGGGAGAGGAAGAUGACACGAAACGGCCGGGCCGAGACAUCCCACGGAAAGUAAGGGGCCCUCCGCCGGUUCAUGCUGCCGCUCCGGACGGUGUACUCGGCGGGAGUUUUGUGUUCCCGGUAACUUCCUGCCCCCUUACCCCCCCGGCUGUGGUGAGGGCGCCAAGCACACGAUCAGCCCGGGGCCCUGCCAUGGCGGCCAUCUCGGCGGCGGAGAAGGUGGACGGCUUCACGCGGAAGUCGGUGCGGAAAGCUCAGCGGCAGAAGCGAUCGCAGGGAUCGUCCCAGUUCCGAGGACAGGGCUCCCUGGUGGAGCUCUCCCCGCUGCCCCAGCUCAAAGGUAACGAUCACACGGGGGCCAGGAGGGGCCAGGGCGGCUGAUACUGGGUGUAAUGAAUACCGGCCUUAAUUCACUGCGGGGGGUGGGGGCGUGUGCUGGGAGUUGGAGUUCUUAUUGCUGAGGGUGGACACACAGUGUGAUGUGCUGGGAGUUGGAGUGCUUAUUGAUUGAUGGGGGUGGACACAUAGUGUGAUGUGCUGGGAGUUGGAGUCCCUAUUGCUGGGGGUGGACACAUAGUGUGAUGUGCUGGGAGUUGGAGUCCCUAUUGCUGGGGGUGGACACAUAGUGUGAUGUGCUGGGAGUUGGAGUCCCUAUUGCUGGGGGUGGACACAUAGUGUGAUGUGCUGGGAGUUGGAGUCCCUAUUGCUGGGGGUGGACACAUAGUGUGAUGUGCUGGGAGUUGGAGUCCCUAUUGCUGGGGGUGGACACAUAGUGUGAUGUGCUGGGAGUUGGAGUCCCUAUUGCUGGGGGUGGACACAUAGUGUGAUGUGCUGGGAGUUGGAGUCCCUAUUGCUGGGGGUGGACACAUNNNNNNNNNNNNNNNNNNNNNNNNNNNNNNNNNNNNNNNNNNNNNNNNNNNNNNNNNNNNNNNNNNNNNNNNNNNNNNNNNNNNNNNNNNNNNNNNNNNNGGGGGUGGUGUGUGUGUGUGUGUGUGGCGGGGGAGGUGUGUGGCGGGGGAGGUGCUGUGAGUUCUGGUUUAAUGAAUGUCAAUUCUGUGUGCAUGUUCUUAUGCACAGAAUGUCAUUCAUUGCCUGAGAGUGAUCAGCUGACAAUCUCAGUGAAUGAGAAAGGGGAACGGCAUCUGGCUUAUUCAGCUCUUGUAGCUAUCUUCUAGGCCAGCAGCAUAGGACCAUUGGCAUCUUGCUGGUCCCAUUGUAAAAUGGUUUUCCCCAUUACCAAGGAAUGGUACUAUUCACAUCAUAGCCACUACAAUGGGUGUUUGUGGUUAUGAUGCUUGUGUAACCCUUUAAAGAACCUUUGACUUGAUAACAUCCAGCUUGUAGCAUCACUCUUGUAUUUCUGGACUUUCAAUUUUCUUGUUAAUCAGUCUCCAGAGUUUAAGAAUUUUUUUUUUUGGGCCAAAUAGUUAGAGGGUCUUUUAGAUCCCCCACCCUCCCUUUAAUUUAAAAAAUAAAUAAAUAAAAAUUAACUUCUAUCACCUUCUAUCAUGCGUUGAAGCAGCUUCUCCUCUACAGCCAGAUCCACCUUUGCUGGUGUCAUUAGGCUUUUCCUCUGGAAGCUUUGUGGGCAUAAGCAAUUGCAAUGGUUCACCAAUCAAUCAUAAGCUUCUCAUCACAGUGCAGGGGAGCUCACAUUGAGAUAUGAGUCAAACUCAGUUCUUGACAUUUGAUGCUCUCAUGCAAUGUGUGAUCAUGUCGAAUGUCAAGAAUCUAGUUACUGUCAGGUGACAGUCACAGGAGGUGUGUUCAGCCCCGCAAUAUAAACAUUGCUGCAUUUCCAAAAUGGAAAUGUUUUACAUUGUUGGAGGGAAAUGGCAAGGAUAUUGCACCAAGACCACCUCAUUGAGUUGAAGUUGGUCAUUUCCUUUUUAGUGUUAGUCUAAGUUUAUAAUAUCUGUACGGUAUUGAAUUAAAAUUGGAGGCAUAAUUCCAAAUGAUUAGAAAAUCUAUGAAGAGUUGUUCACUAAAUUCCGAUUAGGAUUAAAUCCCAUCAUUAUCUUCAUCAUAUUUAUUAAGAUGUUCUAAAAGUGAUGGUUCUGCUUAUAGUAAAUUCCACCAGUUUUCACAGAGAUUUCCUUUGAAAAUGCUGUCAGAUUGAGUAGCGAGAAAAAUAAUUGAAAUAAUACUUUUCUAGCAGAAAAUUAAUAAACAUGUGCAUCGCUAUGAAAAUGGCAUUUAUUUAAAAAAAAAAAAAAAUGCUGGUUAAAGGGACUCUCCAGUUUUCUUGCAGUGCCCGUCUCCCUCCCAUCCCAUGUUGCUGAAGGGGUUAAAACCCCUUCAGUGACUUACCUGAAUAGAGCGCUGAUGACCCUCGUCGCUGGGUCAAUAAGCUGUAGUUGUUCUGGUGUCUAGUGUCCCUUUCAAAGGGACACUAUAGUCACCAAAACAACUACAGCAUAUUGCAUUUGUUCUGGUGAGGAGAAUCAUUCUCUUCAGGCUUCUUGCUGUAAACACUGUCUUUUCAGAGAAAAUUCAGUGUUUACAUUACAGCCUAGUGAUAACUCCACUGGCGACCUCUUAAGAUGGCUACUAGAGGUGCUUCCUUGGGCAGUCCUUCGUAGUAUGGAUCACAACAUUCAGUUUAUCCACCCUCUGCAUGGAGACACUGAACUUUCCUCAUAGAGAUGCAUUGAUUAAAUGUAUCUCAAUGGAAGAUGCUGAUUGGCCAGGGCUGUUUGACUUGUGCUGGCUCUGCCCCUGAUGUGCCUCUUUGUCAUUCUCAGCCAAUCCUAUGGGGAAGCAUUGUGAUUGACUCAGAC
rnacentral:lncRNA from 1 species